UACGAAGGGGCUAGCGUUGCUCGGAAUCACUGGGCGUAAAGGGUGCGUAGGCGGGUCUUUUAAGUCAGGGGUGAAAUCCUGGAGCUCAACUCCAGAACUGCCUUUGAUACUGAAGAUCUUGAGUGCGGGAGAGGUGAGUGGAACUGCGAGUGUAGAGGUGAAAUUCGUAGAUAUUCGCAAGAACACCAGUGGCGAAGGCGGCUCACUGGCCCGGUACUGACGCUGAGGUGCGAAAGCGUGGGGAGCAAACAGG
rnacentral:rRNA from 1 species